UACAGAGGUCCCAAGCGUUGUCCGGAAUCAUUGGGCGUAAAGAGCGCGUAGGCGGCCAGACAAGUCCGGUGUGAAAGUCACAGGCUCAACCUGUGAAUGCCGCUGGAAACUGUCUGGCUAGAGUCCGGAAGGGGCGAGUGGAAUUCCUGGUGUAGCGGUGAAAUGCGCAGAUAUCAGGAGGAACACCUAUGGCGAAGGCAGCUCGCUGGGACGGUACUGACGCUGAGGCGCGAAAGCGUGGGGAGCGAACAGG
rnacentral:rRNA from 1 species